rnacentral:rRNA from 1 species
AUUGAACGCUGGCGGCAUGCCUUACACAUGCAAGUCGAACGGCAGCACGGGUGCUUGCACCUGGUGGCGAGUGGCGAACGGGUGAGUAAUACAUCGGAACGUACCUUAUCGUGGGGGAUAACGCAGCGAAAGUUGCGCUAAUACCGCAUACGCCCUGAGGGGGAAAGCGGGGGACCGUAAGGCCUCGCGCGAUUAGAGCGGCCGAUGUCUGAUUAGCUUGUUGGUGAGGUAAAAGCUCACCAAGGCGAUGAUCAGUAGCUGGUCUGAGAGGACGAUAAGCCACACUGGGACUGAGACACGGCCCAGACUCCUACGGGAGGCAGCAGUGGGGAAUUUUGGACAAUGGGGGAAACCCUGAUCCAGCCAUUCCGCGUGAGUGAAGAAGGCCUUCGGGUUGUAAAGCUCUUUUGUCCGGAACGAAACGGUUAGCGUGAACAUCGCUGACUACUGACGGUACCGGAAGAAUAAGCACCGGCUAACUACGUGCCAGCCGCCGCGGUAA